rnacentral:tRNA from 1 species
GGAGCCGUGGUGUAGUGGUUUGCAUGGAACCCUGUCAAGGUUCAGGUGGCGGGUUCAAGUCCCGUCGGCUCCGCCA